rnacentral:lncRNA from 1 species
GGAGAUAAAACGAACAUUUAAUGACCAGUGUAACUUAGGUGCAAAACGUAAAAACAUUAAUUUCUAUGAAUGCAACUGCAAAAUCAUACCACAAACCGUUAAUUACUUUAGAAACAACUGCAUGAGGGGGGAGUUAAAAAAAGAAAAAGAGGAAUACAAGAAUAUACAAAAAAUAAAGCAAGCAACGAAGACCCCACUGUAGCAAGGAAUUUAGUAAAGGAGUAACAAAAAAAUCGGUUCAAAGGGAAACGUGAAAUCUCACCGAGAACCAAACAUCACUAGAGUCCCUUUCCACACCUUUAAAAACUCUAUUAUUUCUCUUUCCAAGAUCCUACCACAAAGAACACACCCCCGUAGCAAAACAAACUUUUACACAAAAAGGCGGAUGGAGGAGGAACUCCCCAAUUGAGCCACGACAAUUGAAGGUAUUGUUGCAAUAUCUUGGCUAUUCAUGAUUACUAAAUCCCCUUUCCUCGUCUUACAUUUCAAAUGCCAUGGCAACCACUGAAUAUAUUAAUGGCAAAACUUCUAGAACAUAAGCAAUUACAAUUAAAUUGAUGAUUUCUUACUUGGAUUUCAAGAGGGUGACCAUGAAUUCCCAUACGACGAUCUAUCAUACAAGAGCCAUCAGUUACCAGUAAAGUAGGGAACAUAUCGAAGCCAUCAGCAAGACAAAGCCUCAAUAUCAUUUUGAUCCCAGUUUGGACAUCAACUCUCUCCUGAACUGAGAGAUCACCAGAGCAUUUUCCAUAUGCACGCAAUAAAAUUAUCCACCAUAAUCCUAAUAAGAUAGAGAAGCAUACGUGUGACCUUUCAGAUAUUGAAAUACAAUGAUAAACUUUUCUUCUAAAGGAAAAUGGAAAUACUUGAUGGUCUUUGUACCUGAGUCAACAG